rnacentral:rRNA from 1 species
UGGGCCUACGGGAGGCAGCAGUAGGGAAUCUUCCACAAUGGGCGAAAGUCUGAUGGAGCAACGCCGCGUGAGUGAAGAAGGGUUUCGGCUCGUAAAGCUCUGGUGGGAGUGGAGAAAGAUAGAGGUAGUAACUGACCGUUUUUUGACGGGAAUUACUUAGGAAGUCACGGGUAACUACGUGCCAGCAGCCGCGGUAAUACGGAGGUGGCAAGCGUUGUCCGGAUUUAUUGGGCGUAA